UCCGUAGGCGGGCUAAUAAGUCAGGGGUGAAAUCCCACAGCUUAACUGUGGAACUGCCUUUGAUACUGUUAGUCUUGAGUUAUAUGGAAGUAGAUAGAAUGUGUAGUGUAGCGGUGAAAUGCAUAGAUAUUACACAGAAUACCGAUUGCGAAGGCAGUCUACUACGUAUAUACUGACGCUAAUGGACGAAAGCGUGGGGAGCGAACAGGAUUAGAUACCCUGGUAUUC
rnacentral:rRNA from 1 species